GAUGAACGCUGGCGGCGUGCCUAAUACAUGCAAGUCGAGCGAACAGACUCUGGUGUUGCUCCUGUGACGAUAGCGCCGGGAGCGGGAGUAUAACAUGUAUAGAAUCUGUAUCAUACUGGGAUACCUUCGUGAGAAACGAUAGCAAACACGAGAAUAUAUUAUAACGUAUGGUGCAGUAGUGAAAGAGGUUUUUGCGCUCACACAUAGAGAGAUCCGCGCCGCAUUAGCUAGUUGGUAAGGUAAAGGCUUACCAAGGCGACGAUGCGUAGCCGACCUGAGAGGGUGAUCGGCCACACUGGAACUGAGACACGGUCCAGACUCCUACGGGAGGCAGCAGUAGGGAAUCUUCCGCAAUGGGCGAAAGCCUGACGGAGCAACGCCGCGUGAGUGAUGAAGGUCUUCGGAUCGUAAAACUCUGUUAUUAGGGAAGAACAAAUGUGUAAGUAACUAUGCACGUCUUGACGGUACCUAAUCAGAAAGCCACGGCUAACUACGUG
rnacentral:rRNA from 1 species